AUGAUACUAUGCAUUAGGGAGGUAGUAUCAUAUACUAGUAUCAUAUGCAUGAUACUAACUUAUGAUACUACCCAUUACAACCAGCCUAAAGACGAUGACGCGUUUGGGUUCCCGUGGCGAUGGCGGGGCCCCACCGACGGUGAAGUACUCGACGUGCACGCCGGGUCUGUCUCUGAUGAUGACGAGCCCAUCGGCGAUGGUAUUAGAGCAUCUCCACCCAGGCCCCCAAGAAGCCUCCCCAGGCGCUUUUUUAGACACCGGCGUGAAAAAAACGUCCCACUCGAGGCCCCAGGAACCGGUUUUGUGCCGGAUUUGGCGAAAGUUACCGUCGGCACGCCCAUCCCGAACCCAGUCCCGCGGGGAGCAGCUGGGAACGCCGGCAUAGCUUUUUCACAUGCAUCGGACCACCUGCCAGCCUCUCUCCCUCCCCUCUCUCUCAUCUCUCCUCUCCUUUCUCUCUUUUCUUUCUCCUCUCUCAUCUCCUUUUCCUUCCACCACAACACCACCUACUACACACACAACCGGAGCAGGGCUCGCGCGGCCGUGGCGGCGCACGCAUGGCCGGGCGCGGAGCUCGCGCUCGCGCGGCCAGAGCGGAGCAUGGCCGGGGAAGGGCUCGCGAAGCGGAGCGGGGAGGGGCUCGUCUUCUUCGCCUUGCACGUCUCCGUGCAUGCCCAGGACCAGGGCCGGCUCCAGUCCAGGGGCGCGCCGAGGCCACCGUUGGGAAGCAUGGCUGGGUCCACUCGCUGCCCCGUGCUGCUCGACCACCACGCGCUCCCUGCCUGCUCGCCGCCGUUCUGCUUCAGCCCCGGCCGGGUCCGCUCGCCGCCCCGUCCGGCUCCACCCGCGCGCGCCUCCUGCCCUCGCAGCAGAUGGGCGAGAGCCAGUAACCACGGGAGUGGAGACGUUGAGCACGGAGCCGGCGAUGCCGACAGGCAGCGCGCGGGUGGGGUCUCGGAUCUUCUCGGCCAUGGUGGACGCGGAGUCGUCGCCGAUGUAGCUGAAGUAGACGACGGUCGCGUCGUCGAUGACGCCCCGGACGCCGCCAAGAUCCCGGUGCCGCUCCUCUGCUUCCGCUUCCUGGGUGGCGGCGUGCCGUCCACCCGCAGCCCCGCCGCCUUCCUCCUUGCCACCCGAGCUCGCCUCUCCGGCCGGAUCCCGCGGGCGCGGCCGGCUCACCUCGCCGCUGCUCGAUGCGGCAACCGGCCGACGAGACUGCUGCUUCCCUCGCGGGACCUCCGCGACCGCCUCCGGCUCAGCCGCGGCGACGCCGGCUUCUCGUAUCGGGUUGGGCUUGCUGUGGCAGCAGAGCGCGAGCUGCAUCGGCGAGGAGUCCGAGUACUUGCUGCCCAGGAUCUUCUUCUCCCGCUCCCUGUUGGCCUCGGCAAGGGCCGCCUCUUGCCGCCUCCAGGAACGCCCUCGCAUCCGCCCGCAGCUCGCCGAUGA
rnacentral:rRNA from 1 species